CUCGGCCUCUUCUGGGUGCAGCUCUGACUAACCAGCAGGAGAAGGGCUGGAUCGCUGAAGGAUGGGGAAUUUAUGCAAUCGCAGCGGAGAAGAGAGGACAAGACAAACUCCUCCAGUUCCUCAUUGAUGCUGUUUGGACUCUCAUUCUGACGGCACCCAUUCACUGCAGAGGAUCCAUUAGUGAGCAAAUGAUGCAAUGCUACAUUUCUCCAAAUUUGAUGAAGAAACAAACUCAUCUACAUCUUGGAUGGCCUGGAGGCUGACUUUGUUAGUCCAGACCUCUAGAAUCACGUCGGCACUGGACGCUCGAUAAGAAUCAAUGAGAAGCGGAAUCUGUGAAAGAGCCUCCUCAACAGUAUCAACUCCCUCAUCUCCCAAAGUAAAGCUCACCA